UCCACAGCCCACGUCAGACCCUUUAAGUGGCCUCUCAAGAGGCCUCGGGCCCCUUUGUAAGGCAGCGGGAUGCUCAUAAUGGGUCAAUAUCUAUGUUAAUCUGCACCUCACCAAAUUAACAUGCUGUAUAGGUUGGGUGUUGAUGGAUGUGCGUCGUUGUAGAGGUGUUUGUGUGUGUGUGUGUGUGUGUGUGUGUGUGUGUGUGUGGUUAGGAUGUGUCCGUGCGAAGUGCCUGCACCACUUGUGCAGGUAGGUGUGUGAUGGUAUGUUGGUGUGUGAACGUGCGUGUGUUUGUGUGAACAUGUGUUUGCAAUUGUGUGUCCGUGCGCAUGUGUGAGAAGACAGAAGACAGUGUUGUGAAACAGAGGGUAACAGUAGCUCUAUACGUAGCACACGGGACCAGCGG